CUGUGAAGGUCACUGUUAAGGGGUUGGGUGCCAUGGAGGUCACUGUUAAGGAGGCAGGGUGCUGUGGAGGUCACUGUUAAGGGGGUGGGGUGCUGUGGAGUUAACUGUUAAAGGGGUGGAGUGCUGUGGAGGGUACUGUUAAGGAUGGCAGGGUACUGUUAAAGCGGUGGGGUGCUUAGGAGGUCACAGUUAUGGGGAGCAGUGAAUAAAAUAAACUGUGUGUAACUGCUGGGAGUAUAUGGGGCUACUAGCGAUUUCCCUGUUAAAAAAAGAGGGCAUGGAUUGGCCUCCUGGGCACCCUUGGCACAAAUCCUAUAACCACACAAACAGACCAACAUUUCAUUCUCGGGCAGUGUGGGGUACUUUUUCUAGUGAUUAAUAAUAGAUGAUGGUCGCAGCUCACUUUCUCUCCCUCCCUGGACAAUGAUCUCUGCACAGCUCACAGAGGAUACCUAGAAAGCUGUCCUAUAGACAUCAUUAAAUUGGCUUCUGAAGUUUCCGUGUGCCUUCUGUAAAGCAAAUUUCUAGAACAACUCAAACCAAGAUGACCUCCUGUAGAGCAAAUCUCUAGAAAUCUCUAGGACAGCACAAUGCAAGAUGGCCGACCCAUAAUCAAAUAAAUAAAAUAGAAUUUAAAAAAACAGCAACAAAAAGGGCAUAGAAUGAAGAUGAUAUUUUACUAUAGAUUUAAUAGUUUAUUAAUUUGUAUAUUCAUUCACUAGUGAGAUGACCCAAAUAUCAGUAUCGGUAUGUGAAAGAAUAAGCAAACUGAAUAAUAAGGUGCAUGCAUAUAAUCUGUACAUUUCUUAAGCAGAUCAUUUUCACCCUUUGCUCCCAUCAUGCUAGGUUUCAUACUUUUUAAAGGCUGAAUUCACACACAAUGCGCUUUAGUGGUGAUUUUAUUGGAUUGAAUUUUUACAGCAUCUUUAAUGUUUUUAGCAAAAUAUUAAAAAGUAUAUACCGUAUUUUUCACUCUAUAAGACGCACCUGCCCAUAAGACGCACCUAGGAUUUAGAGGAAAAAAAUAAGAAAAAAAGUAUUUUUCAUCAGAGCUCAGCUCAGAUCUCCAAUCAGACGCCCAAUGUUAAUCAGACCUCAGCCCACAGCCUCAUUUAGACCCCCAAUGUUAAUGACUCCCAAUCAGACCUCAGAUUGGACCCCUCAAUGUUAAUAAAGCUCCUUAUACAGACCUCAGAUCAGACCACCAAUCAAACCUUAUAUCAGAUGCAAAAUUUUUAAAAGAUCACAGAUCAGACCUCCAUGUUAAUAAGACC